GCUUUUUUCACGAGGAGGAAUUAAAUAAUACAACGGAUGCUUAACACGCGUGUCGACACCGUGAUCGUAUAAGAUUUCACGUUAAUUAACGCAACAGGAAACAACGAACCGUGAAAGAGCAGUCGUUACAACAUCUCUAUGGAGACACAGUUUCGUACGCGGUUCAUCCGCAGUGUGAAAUUUCCGCGUACGCACGAGUAUCAAAUAUCGCGAAACAGCUUCUCAGCUUCUAUAAUACGAUGUAUCGAUACGAAACUUCUAACCCGUAUUGUACUCGUACAUGAGGUGUAGAAGAGGGUUACUCGUCGAUCGAUCAUGUUUUCAAUCUGCUGAUCUGUUCGACAAGAAAAAUUCAGUGGUCGUGAAAUCGUUGACGUCGAUCUAGUGGAACGGGAAAGAAUAAACAAGACGAUCGAGAAAGAGAUCUAGCGAUAUGCACCUAUUAGCUAGGAAAUCUUUGCGGCUGAUUAAGUAAGUAGAUCGGUAAGUUUGUCGCGAAUAAUCUGACACUGUCGAAAUGCAAAGUAACAGAGGCGUGAAAGCAACUGGAAAUAAUUUUAAUGAACAUUGUUAGGUUUUGAACCGAGAAACGCAACGGUGAAUGUUUCGUUUCCGAGAGGAAAAGAGAGUUUCUCUUCCCUUGAUAUCUAAGCUAGUAAAGUAAUUAUAUAACUUUCCACAUCGCUUUUAUUUUUACGAUAAGUCUGGUUUUCCUCUAUCGAGAAAGAUUUGAGAAUAUAAUACAAAAUAUAGAAUUAUUCUCCUCCUUUGUCAUUUGUCAUUGUCAGGCUCUUCAAAUUAUUACCAAAAGAAGAAAAAUAAAAAUAACUGAAGUUUCGUAGAUCCCGGCUCGAGAAUGAUUUCUUUGAAUUUGUGUUGGAUCUAUUUAAUACCGAUGAAAGAUGAUAAAUAUAUAGACUGUAAUAGUAAAUAAAACGUUAAAUAAGAUGCUAAACGUGUAAAUAGAAUAUUGCAAUACUGUGUUGCAAUACUGAUUAUAGAAGAAACUGCAAAAUUUACUUGAAAAUAUCAAACAGCGUUUCACGAAGUGUACAGAGCUGAGUUUUAUUAUCGCAAACAAUCAGAGUUCAAGAUAAGACGAAUAAAUUGGAAAAAUAAACUGCAGUUAGAGAGUCAUUCAAUUUUAUGAGUUCUUAACAACCAUGCGCUGGCUCAGCAGUGAAAACAGCCGAGACGACGUAAAAAGGAGAAAUUAUUUCGCUCUGCGAAAAGGAACUAAUAAGCAAUUUUCUAGCGGUUGUAGAGGAUCAGAAUAUGAAAUUGCAGAAAUAUUCCCAGUUUGGUAAUGAUAAAUGUGUUUGAGAAUAAUCGAUUGUUAAUUACAAAUUUAUAUUCAUAUUUGAUCAAAUUUAAUUGAAUUGAUUUUCUUUUCUUGCAUUCUCCGUUACUAGGUUCUUAAUACAACUUCUUGGUCACAAAUACAUAACAUUUUAGAUUUUACAAUAAAGCAGACAGUCUUGAUUAUGUCUCGAUGACAGGCUUCCGAUUUUCUCCGUUUUCUAUGUUCCAAGAAGAAUUCAGCGUCUCUUUCAGCCCUUUUAGGGCAUUAACCAUCGACGAGUGUGUUUAUGCGUUCGUGCAUUACACACGAUAAUGCAUCGCGGAUGGUGCAUCGUACGCAUAAAACAUCCGGACAGUCUAAACAAUCCAACGUGUUGUAAACCGCCCCAAAUAAAUCGCGCCGUGUUUUGCGUACGCAUAUAUAUUAGUAGGUUUCGUGGUAGAUGGACAAAAAUUUAUCCGUUGAUUCGAGUUCAUUCCGGGAAUGGAAUUUUGGAAUGAAAUUCGAGGAAUACGAUUCUAGACAAUUCUCAAUUCUUGUAUAUGAAUAUAACUACGCAAGUGAAAUUUACACGAGUAUCUCAUUUUUUAGACAGUUUACAUAUUUUCCCACUUUACGCGCAUUUUCUACAUUCUAUUUCGUAUCUCGUUACAACGCAAAUGUGGAAAUGUUUCGUACGACGCGCAUAACACAUUCAUAGAACUUUUCUGUGAUAAAUGUUCGAAUACUUUUGUGAAUCACUGUAGCGCAUAAACGAAGAUAUUAAGAAAUAUUCCUUAUAUUUUUUCUAACACCAGGGACUCUUGUAUUCGCCUAGUACAAGAAAAAUAUAGAAAUACAAAUAUAAAUGUGCGGACGUUGAUUCAAUGUAUUUUCAUUUAAUUUAGUUGAUUUAAACGUUUUAAUUUAUUUUUCCUGCCAAUCGAGAGAUAUCUGAUAGUAAAAUUGCGACAAAUUUCGGUCUAAAAUCGGAGUAACGGUAGCCGUGAUAGCCAUGACGAGAGGAAGCUCGUGAAAGUAUUGUCUUUUCCUGCGUUUCAUCCACAUUUAGAUAUUCGUUAUCUAGUUUAUUGUAUAUUUCAAGAAAAAGUAGAUCGAUCGUUACGAAUGUACCAAGGUUGGUCAGAAGAUCAGGUGUUACACAUCUCUUAAGACAGUCAACUAUUGCGUUUCGCCAGAACCAUGGAGUAUCAUCUUGCAACGAGAGAAAACACGUUGAAAUACGCGCAAUGCUCCGACGAUGAUUCAACCUUUGGUUCGAGUAAAUGUUACCAAAACGAAUGGUAUGUAUAAACAUUCGUUGCAGUACUGUUAGAAAAAUAUACAUAUAUACAUAGAUAAUUCUCGUUGUUUCAAAAUAUUAAGUAAAUUCGCAUUAACCUCGCGCCAUGUGCAAAUCGCCACUAUUCCGCUUAUUUUAUAAAUUAUCGUAAAAUGUGUAAUUCAUUUUCUAUCCUUUCGUUUACUUUAUACUCUCGUCUAUUUCAGUUAUUCAAAGUUCUGAUUCACUAAAAAAUUCAGAUUCUACCUCUGUGCUGUAAAAUAAUAUUUAGAGAAUUCGAAUUUAGUCGAGUAUUUUGAUUCCUACAAGUAUCGUUCUUCUAAUAUCGUGGCUAAUUAAAUUAAUAACUUUAUUCUUUACGAUCACACGUUUUCGCGACUUGUGAAAAUAUAAUGAAUUUCGUACAGUAACAAACAGAGUGUACGACCUUGUGAAAAAUAGUGGUCAAUUGACUUACAGCAUUCAUUCUCGGUGA